UGAAGAUGCAACUGUGGUGACUGGAAGUCCAGGAAAGCAGCAGGGAGGGGCCAAGCCUCUGCAGCACUGUCUCCCCAACCUAGAUUGAAUCUGCUCAGAGACAGGAGGGACUUUCUGUUGCAAGGGAAAGGCCAUGCUCCUGCCAGAAUGCCGAAGACACUGGAGUACUUUACAGGGGACUGUUUCUUAGUUCCAUGGAGAGAACAGGCUGGUCUCGAACUCCUGUACUCAAGCAAUCUGCC